rnacentral:rRNA from 1 species
AGUCGAACGUGAAAGCACUUCGGUGUGAGUAGAGUGGCGGACGGGUGAGUAACGCGUGGGAAUCUACCCAGUAGUGGGGGACAACUACCGGAAACGGUAGCUAAUACCGCAUACGCCCUAUGGGGGAAAGGCUUCGGCCGCUAUUGGAUGAGCCCGCGUCAGAUUAGCUAGUUGGUAGGGUAAAGGCCUACCAAGGCAACGAUCUGUAGCUGGUCUGAGAGGACGAACAGCCACACUGGGACUGAGACACGGCCCAGACUCCUACGGGAGGCAGCAGUGGGGAAUAUUGGACAAUGGGCGAAAGCCUGAUCCAGCAAUGCCGCGUGUGUGAAGAAGGCCUGCGGGUUGUAAAGCACUUUCAGUUGGGAAGAUGAUGACGUUACCAACAGAAGAAGCACCGGCUAAAUCCGUGCCAGCAGCCGCGGUAAUACGGAUGGUGCGAGCGUUAAUCGGAAUUACUGGGCGUAAAGCGCGCGUAGGCGGCUAAGUCAGUCAGAAGUGAAAGCCCCGGGCUCAACCUGGGAAUUGCUUUUGAUACUGCUUAGCUAGAGUUUGGUAGAGGAUAGUGGAAUUCCAGGUGUAGCGGUGAAAUGCGUAGAUAUCUGGAGGAACAUCAGUGGCGAAGGCGACUGUCUGGACCAAAACUGACGCUGAGGUGCGAAAGCGUGGGUAGCAAACAGGAUUAGAUACCCUGGUAGA